UAUGAAGUUGAUGUGCUCUCU
rnacentral:piRNA from 1 species